GGUUCCAGGAACUGAAUUCAGGUCACCAGGCUUGGUGAAGACGUGUUUUACCAGCUGAGCCAUCUCUUCAGCUCUGAGCUAAUAUUUUCCAGAUGUAAAGAACUGGGCUAUGUUGUCUCAUCCCAAGAAACAAGAGAUCCAUGGCAGUGCAGUUGCUAAGCUUACUACUACUGCAGCCCCGGAGCUCGCAGUGCUGGAAGAUGGGUAGCACCGGUGAGGAUGACACAGAUACAGAUGGAACAAAACACCCGCCUACAGUGUUACCAGUUUGCUAGCGUGCUACCAGUUGUCCACCUUGACCAUGCUGAAGUACAGUUUGAAGAGGUCGUGGGGUGUGGGUAUGACUCGGAGCUACAUGCCACUCCUCACUGUGCCUUUUAUACACAUCACUGGCAGAGUGACACUUCCUCUUCUUCUAGACUUAGUCUAGAUGGAUGGCAGAUCCAUUGCCAAAUCCUUCCUGGAGCUCUAUGACACAAAAAGGAAGCUGGAGUAAUGUGGAAACUUCUGGUUUCUUUGGAAAGUCAGUUAUGCCAAAGAAUGUUUUGCUGAAGCAGACACGGGUGAAAGGUUGUUGUGCUAAAGUAAACACGUGGAAGGACAUGUGAAAAAGGAUUCUUUGAUAAUGACACACAUGUCUUGGUUCGCCUUACAUGUGUAGUUGAGCUGCGUUUGUUGUGACUCCAUAGAGAGAAACGCACCAAAAAAAACUUUGGUGGUAUGCUACCACUUCUGGAGGACAUGUGAUGCUUGGAGGAAGAAUAAAUAAGAGUCUGCAAUGCA
rnacentral:lncRNA from 1 species